rnacentral:rRNA from 1 species
AUACAGAGGUCUCAAGCGUUGUUCGGAUUCAUUGGGCGUAAAGGGUGCGUAGGCUGUAUGGUAAGUCAGAUGUGAAAUUUUAGGGCUCAACCCUGAAACUGCAUCCGAUACUGCCGUGCUAGAGGAUUGGAGAGGAGAUUGGAAUUCAUGGUGUAGCAGUGAAAUGCGUAGAUAUCAUGAGGGAGACCAGUGGCGAAGGCGAAUCUCUGGACAAAUCCUGACGCUGAGGCACGAAGGCUAGGGUAGCGAACGGGAUUAGAAACCCGGGUAGUCC